GACGAACGCUGGCGGCGUGCUUAACACAUGCAAGUCGAACGAUGAUCCGGAGCUUGCUCCUGUGCUUAGUGGCGAACGGGUGAGUAACACGUGAGUAACCUGCCCCCGACCCUGGGAUAAGCGUUGGAAACGACGGCUAAUACUGGACAUGAUCAGUGGCGGCAUGGGCUGGUGGUGGAAAGAUUUUUUGGGUGGGGAUGGACUCGCGGCCUAUCAGCUUGUUGGUGCGGUAAUGGCGAACCAAGGCGACGACGGGUAGCAGGCCUGAGAGGGUGACCAGCGACUCUGGGUGUGGGUAUCGCCCCGGACUCCUACGGGAGGCAGCAGUGGGGAAUGUUGCAUUAUCGGCGCGAGGCUGGUGCGGCAUCGCCGCGAGGGGGAUGACCGCCUUCCGGUUGUAUACCUCUUUUCGUAGGGCAGACGCGAUAGUGACGGUACCUGCAGAAACAGCACCGGCUAACUCCGUG
rnacentral:rRNA from 1 species